GUUGUAGCUGGCCUCCAGGGGCAUGUGCACGCCCUGAUCGCAUCCACCUCCCACACCUGUGCACUGCCUGUAGCUUGGGAUGAUCACGGAGCCCUGAUGGGUGACGAAUGCCCUUGUCUAUGAAUAUUUUCACACACGCUCAAAGUACAACAGAAUGUAUAUCAUAUUGCGUCUGAUAAACGUGACAAAUACAACUUUCAACAACGGAUCUCUUGGCUCUCGCAUCGAUGAAGAACGCAGCGAAAUGCGAUAAGUAAUGUGAAUUGCAGAAUUCAGUGAAUCAUCGAAUCUUUGAACGCACCUUGCGCUCCUUGGUAUUCCGAGGAGCAUGCCUGUUUGAGUGUCAUGAAAUUCUCAACUGCCCC
rnacentral:misc_RNA from 1 species